UGAAUACGAGACGCUAAGGCGUCGAAGUAGUGUAUGUCAUACUUCCAAGAAAAGCUUGCACUGUCAUAGAUAAAAAACGCCUGUACCAUAACCGACACAGGUGGGUAGGUAGAGUAUACUAAGGGGCGCGAGAUAACUCUCUCUAAGGAACUCGGCAAAAUAACUCCGUAACUUCGGGAGAAGGAGUGCCUUAUUCGUAAGGUUGCAAUAACAAGAUCCAAGCAACUGUUUAUCAAAAACACAGGUCUCCGCUAAGUCGUAAGACGAUGUAUGGGGGCUGACGCCUGCCCAGUGCCAGAAGGUUAAAGAAGUUGGUUAGCAAUUGCGAAGCUGAUAACUGAAGCCCUGGUGAACGGCGGCCGUAACAAUAACGGUCCUAAGGUAGCGAAAUUCCUUGUCGGGUAAGUUCCGACCCGCACGAAAGGCGUAAUGAUUUGGAUACUGUCUCGGAGAGGGGCUCGGUGAAAUAGACUUGUCUGUGAAGAUGCGGACUACCUGCACCAGGACAGAAAGACCCUAUGAAGCUUUACUGUAACUUGAAAUUGAAAUUGGACUUUAUUCGCGCAGUAUAGGUGGGAGGCGUUGAUUAUAAUCUUGUGGGAUUAUUGGAGCCAUCAGUGAGAUACCACUCUUGUAAUGUUAGAUUUCUAACUUUGAAUCAUUAUCUGGUCAAAGAACAGUUUCAGGCGGGCAGUUUGACUGGGGCGGUCGCCUCCUAGACGGUAACGGAGGCGUACAAAGGUUUCCUCUGAACGGUUAGAAAUCGUAUCUAGAGUGUAAAGGCAUAAGGAAGCUUGACUGUGAGACCUACAAGUCGAGCAGGGACGAAAGUCGGUCUUAGUGAUCUGACGGUACUGAGUGGAAAGGCCGUCACUCAACGGAUAAAAGUUACUCUAGGAUAACAGGCUGAUCUCCCCCAAGAGUUCACAUCGACGGGGAGGUUUGGCACCUCGAUGUCGGCUCAUCGCAUCCUGGGGCGGUAGUACGUCCCAAGGGUUGGGCUGUUCGCCCAUGAAAGCGGUACGCGAGCUGGGUUCAGAACGUCGUGAGACAGUUCGGUCCAUAUUCGGUGUAGGCGUUAGAAUAUUGAGAGGAGCCUUCUUUAGUACGAGAGGACCGAGAAGGACAUACCUCUGGUGUACCAGUUAUCGUGCCAACGGUAAACGCUGGGUAGCUAUGUAUGGAGUGGAUAACCGCUGAAAGCAUCUAAGUGGGAAGCCCACCUCAAGAUAAGUA
rnacentral:rRNA from 1 species